GAGGAAGAAAAAAAAAAAAAAAAAAGGGAGCAGGAGAACCAAGGCAAACAGCAAGCAAAAAAAAAGCAAAAAAGAAAAAGUAGUGACUGCAACAAAAAUGUCUUUCCAAGAUCGGUGCAGGGCUCGCAUAAAUCGUUACUUUGGCAGGGACGAAGUGGAUGAGUUUACAUGGGGGAGGGCAUACUGUUUGGAGCAGUCGAAGGAGUACGACGACGUCAAGAGCGAGAUUGAGUACCAUAAGGUUGAUAAUGGCUUUGGUGAGCUUUUGAUCUAAUUGAGAAACCUGAAAAUUCAUCUAAAAUAAUUAUGGAAACAUGAAAGGUCAUGUGUUUAUAAUGUGCACACACCCAUGUUUGUGGUACAUAACUGGCUUUCGAACCUUUGUUUUUUUUUUGCUUGAACUGGCUUUCGAACUUCAUUAUGCUACUUGAACUUCAUUUAUUCCCUUGUAGGCAGUUCGUUUGAAGUUUAGAAUUUUUUACCUGAAGCAGAUGCAAUGUACCUUGAGAUAUCAGACUCUUUGAUCAAACUUAAUGCAAGGAAUUUGAGCUAUCCAGAGUCCACCUUUAUCCUCUGCGCAUUUUUUUACUAUCAGUGGGCAGUAGGAUGUUUCUAGCUUCAAAAGUGAAAGAGGCAGAGUUAAGAUUCUUCAGCCAAGAACUUGUGAGAAGAGUUAAGAAAAUCUAAGAUUUCUAAGAGAAAAACAGAGAAAGUUGAGAGAAAGUUGAGAGCCUUUGUGAGAAAAUUCUCUGUUUUGUAUUUCUGUUGUAGUAGCGUACAAAGAAAGCUGCUAGAUAAUAUUCUAUUUAUGAUACCAGUUACCGCAGAUCGAGAAACAUGUAAAACAAGAAAAACAAGUAAAAUAAAAUUGUUGGGCUGGCAUCUUCCACAGAUGAACUUAACUGAUGACCUGGCAUAAGACCUUUGACUCUUCAACGGGCAGACCCCCCUCAGUUAAGGAUGCAAGCUUUACGGUCUUUUGGUGAUAUAAGAUAUUCAAGAGUGGCAAAGAAUUGAAGUCUUUUGGAUAACUUAUUCAGGCUCUGGAAACGCAAAUUUCUGUGGUCAGUGAGAGAUUUUGGCAACAUCAUCAUCACCCCCUCUUUCUCUUCUGGUGGAAAAGACACCAUAUCUGUAGCUUCACCACUCAUUCCUAACUCUCUAACAGAGUGAAAUGGAGCCAAAUUAUUUGCGGUGGGACUGGUGCUUCUCUGAUCUCUGUUAAAUCGAGAGACUUACAGAGGACUUUCUAGCUUCCAAGGAGAUGCACAUGGAUAACAUGGUUGUUGCUGUUUUUUGAAGUCGAAGGUUGCUUCAGAAAUUUUCUAGCUUUCAAAGAGAUGCAUAUACAGAAGAUUGUUAUUUUUGGCUGCUGGGAUGGAGGACUGCUUUUAGAAAUUGGGUUGUACCCUGUUUUCUUGAUAAGCCUUGCCUUGGAACAGGAACAUUGAAUGGC